AUCCACCCCUUGAGAAGCCGACGUCCGCGGCGGCUUUCUCUAGAGAGCUCACACUCCGGACUCUUCUCGACACCAUGUAGCCCUUUUCCCCUUUGGAUGGCUUCACUCCGGACCUUAUCAAGCACCAGGUAGCCCUUUUCUAGGUCGCCCCCUCCACUGGGCCGGCACCGGAUGAGUGGACGGCUUCACUCUGGAUAUCUUUCACUCCGGAUUCUUCUCGGUCCCCUUUGAACCUUAUCAAACACCGGGUAGCCCUCUUCCAGGUAGCCCUUUCCCACCACUCUCCGGCCUCUCAACGAGAGCACCAAAUGAUACGGUACUCAAGCUAAGACCCUAACUCCACCACAAAAGCUAGCUCAUGAGUGGAGGUUUGGCCCCAACUUAAGUACCACUUCACAAUCUCUUGUGGAGCCGAUGUGGGAUCGUAUCAUAAUAAAAUUACAAAAGAU